AUCUUUUAUUAUUUAAUCAAUUUCAGGAAUGAGGAUAAUGUACUUUAGUGUGCCAGAACGCCCUCAGCUAUUUCUAGCGGAUCAUCCCUUUUUUAUCGUCAUCAAAGGAAUAAAACAUGAUUCCGAACAUUUUGCUCACGUCAUCUUGUUCAGUGGAUGCAUUAGAAGUCCUACAUCAGCUAUGAUGGUCACAUAUCAAUGCUUGAUGGUGGAGCCUGAUCCAGAGCAAUUUCAUGCUGACCAUCCCUUCUUGGUUGUCAUAAGCACAGCAACAGAUCCUUCACAAUCUACAAGGCAGGGAUCGAUUCUCUUCAAGGGGCGCAUCGUUCAACCUUAAUUGGGAUAUGGUCUAAUAUAUUCAAACGAUUAAUGCCAAAGAUAUUUGAUAAUGCCGAAUAAGAUACCAACCAAAUGGAUUGGUGAAAUGUUUGGUAGAAAUCUCGUGAAGUGCCUCAACAUCUUCAUUGCAAAUCAUUGUAAUAUAUUUAUUAACAUAAAUCUUUCAGGCUGAUACUUAAA